UAGAGACUGGCGAUACCGAGGCGGUAAAAUGUUUUAAUGCAAACGCUUGAGCAGGGAAAAAUACCUGACACACUUGUGUCCGAAGGGAAAUUUUUUACCUGAAACUUUCGACCAAUCAGGUUAGGCCCCACGUGGGUCUCACAAUUAAAUGAAAGUGCUUACGAAGCAUAUAACUCGCGAUCUAAAAUAUCUACCAAUGGGAGACAGCCACUCCACCUGGCCGGAAAAAACCCUAGUGCAAGAAACUGAAAGCUAUCAAUUUAGACAACCUGAACAAAGGGGUUUCUGUAUUGAAAAUAAUUUAGGUUUUCCGCAAGCAUUUUGAAUGACAGACGAAGUCAACAAUCUUGAUUACGAUGACAAUGGAAGCUGGUGCCAUGGCGUUUACAUUACCAAAAAAGGGAACGGUUUUGGCCAAGGUCGUCAUGAGAUAAUGCUAAGUUUACAAAACAACGAGGAUUAACCAAACAAAAUCAUUCACCACAUCGACUCUAAUAGAAUUCCGCGCCGAAGUGGCACCAUCUGAGCGACAGCUAAUCAACCAAGAAUAGAAAAUGCAUCAACAGCAUCUUUGAAAAUGCUUUCCAAGCACAUAUUUGACGCAUUAAUCAUCUCGAAACUGCUUUGUUGGCGGGUUUUUUUGGAAAAGGCAACGUGCUUACGUUGCGAAAGUAAAAACCCGCCACAACAAAUCAGCUGUAUCAUCCUGGGGGAAUUCAUUGGCGCUUGGCACGUGCAGAAGGCCAGCUGAAGGUUGACGGGUGCGUGUUCAGAAACAAAUAAUGCGUCAAAUCACAGAGAGAGGAGAAAGUGACCACACAGCAGUUUACUUUAAUUUCCAUGCUACGAUUCUAAACCCGCCACAAGCGACGCAUGAAGUUCGGUAAACGGAGACAACAUGACCCCUGCGCAAUUUUCACCGUCUUUUAACAGUGUGUUCUUAUGGUUGUUACAAGAAUCAGUGAUGGAGAGAUUCUAAAUUUUGCGUCUAAAGUAUUUCGAACAUAGAUCACAGGGGUAAGUCCCACGAUCGAUUGCGUGGCAACCGAACUACACCAUGUUCCGCCCUUGAAAUCGACACAUGCUGUGAAAACCACAAGGAUCGUGAACACGUAGCUCAAAAACAUGGACAUACUCCAAACGCGUUUUGCGUUUUUCUGCGGUGAAACCAAGGGGAUUUCAGCGCAGCAAAGUCUCUACUUCUAAGGAAAAGGGAGACCGACUCCAAAUUCGCCUAAAGACCCUACAAUUCCGCCGAAACCUCCUCAACCAGCGCCACGUAAAGGAUAUUGCGAAUACUGCGUCGUACAAUGACGUUAAAAGGUAAACGCAUUUUUAUAUUUCAAGUGUACGAAAUGCAAUGAUGCAAUUCGUUCGACUUACAUAAAUUGCGCAUCAGCGCACAAGCUUUUGAUCAUUUCCAAACCAAUUUACGUCAAUUAACGAUGAAAAACUCAUUCGGAGAAGGCUGAAAAUUAUUGCGCAAAGGAACUUUGUCUCAACAUGCUUUAGUAAGCACUUUUUUUUGCCACGCCAUGGGAAAAGUUCUCACAAUAAAGCUGUCAAUCAUUUACAGAUAUUGACUUGGCUGCGUCGCGCAUAUAAACGCAGAAGAGAGUCAUUCGAAGUAAAAGUUGUGCGUUAACCUCUUACUUCCCAGAGGCUUAAAACUUAGUAUCAAAUAUGCCUUACGGUACUUCUGGAGCAAGUGGAUAUCCAACUUCUGACGCGGAGUAUCCUACAGAGGGACAUUAUCAAGACAGAGAUCACUGUUGUAACUGUUCCUCGUGUUGCACAAUUCUCUGACACAAGAGACGAGGUUCGUGCAUAAUCUUGUGACAUUAAGGUAAGCUUGAGUUAGUUUAUAUGCUACUGCCGCACACAAUGACUUAGUCUUACGCCUUCUCCUGAUAUUUAACAACACACAUGAUAUACGCUACAAGAAACAAAAUGAGUAAAGGAUAUGUAUUUCUAAUGAAACUGUGGUGCAGCGUUAGUUAGAGAGUAUAACAGGGUAAUUUAGUGUUAUAAACUGAGUUGAUAACGUAAAUUGGCCACCGUAAAGAGUAAGAGGGCUGACGUUUCGAGCUUUAACCCUUCGUCAAGGCGACAGAAGGAGAACUCUUCGUAAGAGCGAUGAAAGAAACAUGGCGACAACAGCCAGGAGAAAAAAAUGCUCAAAAGCAGAAACUCUAAACAGAAAUGUUCGAACGUUGCGUCCAAAAACGGGAAAAAUAACUAAAUGUCUGUUUUAUUACUGCGUCAUUUCAGCAUUUGUCUUUCGAUCGCUAACAUCUUUUGCGUCUAUGUUUCAGACUAUAUGACGACCAUGGCGACGACUGUGUACUGCUGUAAAAGACCCCGAAGAUCACGCUAUUUGGAAGAGAACUAAUGAAGCCCUUCGUCACGAGGACUGAUGUGUUUCUCCCUGUUAAAAAUUCUGGAGUUAAUUACAGUUAGGACACGUUGCGCAUCGACUACAAUAUAUUUUACUCGUAUAAGGAGUUAGAAAUUGAGUUUUUUAGAAUUUUUUCACAUAUUAUGGAAAUUUUCGGCUAAGUGCUGUUUAUUUGACCCGAGUUUGAUGACAAAGCGAUGUAAAAUUUGAGUUAUAAAUUUACUCGUGUGUGGCGCACGUCAGGAACCGAUGUAAAAGAGAUGGAGUUAAUAAACGAAGAAAGUAACAUGA